GUAGGGAAUAUUGCGCAAUGGACGAAAGUCUGACGCAGCGACGCCGCGUGAGUGAUGAAGGCCUUAGGGUCGUAAAGCUCUGCUGAAUGGGAAGAAAAAAAUGACGGUACCAUUCGAGGAAGGACCGGCUAACUUCGUGCCAGCAGCCGCGGUAAUACGAGGGGUCGUAGCGUUGUUCGGAAUCAUUGGGCGUAAAGGGUGUGUAGGUGGCCAUGUAAGUCAGGUGUGAAAGCCCCGGGCUCAACCCGGGAACUGCACUUGAUACUGCGUAGCUUGAGUACCGAAGAGGAUAGUGGAGUUCCAGGUGUAGUGGUGAACUACGUAGAUAUGUGGAGGAACACCGGUGGCGAAGGCGGCUACCUAGUCGAGUACUGACACUGAGACACGAAAGCAUGGGGAUCAAACAGGAUUAGAUACCCCAGUAGUCC
rnacentral:rRNA from 1 species